GACGAACGCUGGCGGCGUGCUUAACACAUGCAAGUCGAACGGAAAGGCCCUGCUUUUGUGGGGUGCUCGAGUGGCGAACGGGUGAGUAACACGUGAGUAACCUGCCCUUGACUUUGGGAUAACUUCAGGAAACUGGGGCUAAUACCGGAUAGGAGCUCCUGCUGCAUGGUGGGGGUUGGAAAGUUUCGGCGGUUGGGGAUGGACUCGCGGCUUAUCAGCUUGUUGGUGGGGUAGUGGCUUACCAAGGCUUUGACGGGUAGCCGGCCUGCGAGGGUGACCGGCCAAAUUGGGACUGAGCUACGGCCCAGACUACUACGGGAGGGAGCAGUGGGGAAUAUUGCACAAUGGGCGGAAGCCUGAUGCAGCAACGCCGCGUGCGGGAUGACGGCCUUCGGGUUGUAAACCGCUUUCGCCUGUGACGAAGCGUGAGUGACGGUAAUGGGUAAAGAAGCACCGGCUAACUACGUG
rnacentral:rRNA from 1 species